CUUAAAAACGUUUCGCGCAGAACGAAUUGAAGAACGAAGUUUUCUUAUCAUCUUCUCCAGAACGAGUUUCACAAGGUCAUCAAUCAUCAAUCAUCUUCUUCGUCAUUCCCAAUCAUCUCUCAAAUUAGGGCACAAUCNNNNNNNNNNNNNNNNNNNNNNNNNNNNNNCUCAAAUCACCAUCACGCGGUUCGUUCUAGAUUCGAGAUCUGUGUGGCGGUGUUGCUCGCGGAAAUCUUUGCUUCAUAUUUGAGCAGCAGAGUCGCGAUUGUUGCACCAGUGGAGGUGUUGUUGUGAAAGAUGUCGGUGGAGGUGCUCAGGCGGCGAGAACGCUGACGUAUUUGAUUGCGGAUCUAAUGUUUCUGUUGUUGUGUUUGCGCAGCUUCACGUCGUUCCAGAUCUUUUGAGGUUCAUCUUUUCUAGUAAGGCUUGACGUUUUUCUUUUGAAUUGUAGAUCUUGUAGUUUUUCUUUAUUAAAUACAUUGAAAAAUCUAGAUAUAUUUAUUUUAUCUGUUAUUUAUCAGUAGUUUAAGCAACAAAAUCUCAUUUUCUUUCUCCAGCAUUAACAUAGAAAACCAUCGCAGUUUAAUGUUGUAUUGUAUUAAUUGUGGGUUAUGAACAGACUGUGACCAAACUUUAUCUCAGCUGUUAGAUUGAUGAACAGACUAUCCAAAAUUAAACACAAGAAAGAAGCCAAGGCAAAAAUGUAGAGAGCUGGUAAGUUUAUUUACUGGUGUUUCUUGAUUGUGGAUGCCAUAUUUAUUUAUUGCUGAUUUUUUGCUUUAAUAUUUG
rnacentral:lncRNA from 1 species